rnacentral:rRNA from 1 species
GUUUGAUCCUGGCUCAGGAUGAACGCUGGCGGCGUGCUUAACACAUGCAAGUCGAGCGAAGCACUUAAGUUUGAUUCUUCGGAUGAAGACUUUUGUGACUGAGCGGCGGACGGGUGAGUAACGCGUGGGUAACCUGCCUCAUACAGGGGGAUAACAGUUAGAAAUGGCUGCUAAUACCGCAUAAGACCACAGUACUGCAUGGUACAGUGGUAAAAACUCCGGUGGUAUGAGAUGGACCCGCGUCUGAUUAGGUAGUUGGUGAGGUAACGGCCCACCAAGCCGACGAUCAGUAGCCGACCUGAGAGGGUGACCGGCCACAUUGGGACUGAGACACGGCCCAGACUCCUACGGGAGGCAGCAGUGGGGAAUAUUGCACAAUGGGCGAAAGCCUGAUGCAGCGACGCCGCGUGAGGGAUGACGGCCUUCGGGUUGUAAACCUCUUUCAGCAGGGACGAAGCGAAAGUGACGGUACCUGCAGAAGAAGCACCGGCUAACUACGUGCCAGCAGCCGCGGUAAUACGUAGGGUGCGAGCGUUAUCCGGAAUUAUUGGGCGUAAAGAGCUCGUAGGCGGUUUGUCGCGUCUGUCGUGAAAGUCCGGGGCUUAACCCCGGAUCUGCGGUGGGUACGGGCAGACUAGAGUGCAGUAGGGGAGACUGGAAUUCCUGGUGUAGCGGUGGAAUGCGCAGAUAUCAGGAGGAACACCGAUGGCGAAGGCAGGUCUCUGGGCUGUAACUGACGCUGAGGAGCGAAAGCAUGGGGAGCGAACAGGAUUAGAUACCCUGGUAGUCCAUGCCGUAAACGUUGGGCACUAGGUGUGGGGACCAUUCCACGGUUUCCGCGCCGCAGCUAACGCAUUAAGUGCCCCGCCUGGGGAGUACGGCCGCAAGGCUAAAACUCAAAGGAAUUGACGGGGGCCC